rnacentral:rRNA from 1 species
AUUGAACGCUGGCGGCAGGCCUAACACAUGCAAGUCGAGCGAGAGGCGGACAGGUGAGUAAUGUCUGGGAAAAUGCCUGAAGGAGGGGGAUAACUACUGGAAACGGUAGCUAAUACCGCAUACCAUCAGAUGUGCCCAGAUGGGAUUAGCUAGUAGGCGGGGUAAAGGCUCACCUAGGCGCCGAUCCCUAGCCGGUCUGAGAGGAUGACCAGCCACACUGGAACGGAGAAACGGUCCAGACUCCUACGGGAGGCAGCAGUGGGGAAUAUUGCACAAUGGGCGAAAGCCUGAUGGAGCCAUGCCGCGUGUGUGAAGAAGGCCUUCGGGUUGUAAAGCACUUUCAGCGGGGAGGCGUUACCCGCAGAAGAAGCACCGGCUAACUCCGUGCCAGCCGCCGCGGUAAUAC